UAGAACACAAAGUGUAACCACUUAAUCAAAUUUACCUAAUUAAUCAUGUCCUAUAGGUAAGGGGCGUUUGUUCUGAUAAGAUUAAUUCCAGAAUUCAAAGAAAUUUUUUUAGUGCAGAGAUAUCUUUUUUUCAUAUUCAAUCAAGAGGGAGGAGGAAGCCAUGGCCAUCAGACAUAGUUCCCCAAGCAACGGGCGUUUGUUUCUACUGAUUUCAUGCGUCGUUUUGGGUUUGGGUUUGGGGCAAGCAAUUGACCGAGACAUGUGCAAGUUUAUACCGGGACGCUGCAUCAAAUUGAAAACCGACUGUAACCAGUCCUGCUAUGACAAAACCUACACAAAUGGAGGUGUAUGCAGGAAGUUGACCCCAAACUUCUUAGCUUGCUGCUGUAACAAGGAGGAGUGAUAUAAAGAAGAAAUUACAGGAAGCAGAAGGCCGGAAAAAAUGAAGUUUAGGCCUAGGAGAUAAAUACACGAAAUUCGCAUAAAUUUUUGGUUUUCUUUUUCUCGGCUUUAUACAUAGCCUAGAAGAUGCAUUGGAAUGUAACGUAGUCUCAACUUAUAUAAAUUAUCCGUUCUAUCUAACCGCUCUACGCAACAGUUGUAAUCACCACAAAGCGUCAGUCGUUAUAUAUGUUUUUUUAGAAUUUUCA